rnacentral:rRNA from 1 species
AACUUUCAACAAUGGAUCUCUUGGUUCUCGCAUCGAUGAAGAACGCAGCUAAAUGCGAUACGUAAUGUGAAUUGCAGAAUUCCGUGAAUCAUCGAAUCUUUGAACGCACAUUGCGCCCUCUGGUAUUCCGGGGGGCAUGCCUGUUUGAGCGUCAUUUCC